rnacentral:rRNA from 1 species
AACGAACGCUGGCGGCAUGCCUAACACAUGCAAGUCGAACGAGACCUUCGGGUCUAGUGGCGCACGGGUGCGUAACGCGUGGGAACCUGCCCUUAGGUUCGGAAUAACUCCCCGAAAGGGGUGCUAAUACCGGAUAAUGUCUUCGGACCAAAGAUUUAUCGCCUUUGGAUGGGCCCGCGUUGGAUUAGCUAGUUGGUAGGGUAAGAGCCUACCAAGGCGACGAUCCAUAGCUGGUCUGAGAGGAUGAUCAGCCACACUGGGACUGAGACACGGCCCAGACCCCCGCGGGAGGCAGAGGUGGGAAAUAUGGGACAGGGGGCAAAGGCUGACCCAAGAAAUGCCGGGUGAGGAAAGAGGCCCUGGGGGUUGAAAAGUUUUUUCCCCGGGGAUGAAAAGGACAGCCCGGGGAAAAAACGCCCCGACAACCCCCGUC